GUUGUAUAGUCAAGUAAUUAAGUGCAUGUGGUGGAUGCCUUGGCAGUCAGAGGCGAUGAAAGACGUGAUAGCCUGCGAAAAGCUCCGGGGAGGCGGCAAAUAUCCUUUGAUCCGGAGAUGUCUGAAUGGGGGAACCCACCUACUUUAAGGUAGGUAUUGCAACAUGAAUACAUAGUGUUGCAAGGCGAACGAGGGGAAGUGAAACAUCUCAGUACCCUUAGGAAAAGAAAUCAAUUGAGAUUCCCUCAGUAGCGGCGAGCGAACGGGGAUCAGCCCAUUAAGUUAUGUGUGUUUUAGUGGAACGCUCUGGGAAGUGCGAACGUAGAGGGUGAUAUUCCCGUACACGAAAGGGCACACAUAAUGAUGACGAGUAGGGCGAGGCACGUGAAACCUUGUCUGAAUAUGGGGGGACCAUCCUCCAAGGCUAAAUACUCCUGACUGACCGAUAGUGAACCAGUACCGUGAGGGAAAGGCGAAAAGAACCCCUGUGAGGGGAGUGAAAUAGAUCCUGAAACCGCAUGCAUACAAGCAGUGGGAGCACCUUCGUGGUGUGACUGCGUACCUUUUGUAUAAUGGGUCAGCGACUUAUAUUCAGUAGCGAGGUUAACCGUAUAGGGGAGCCGUAGAGAAAUCGAGUCUUAAUAGGGCGUUUAGUUGCUGGGUAUAGACCCGAAACCAGGCGAUCUAUCCAUGAGCAGGUUGAAGGUUGGGUAACACUAACUGGAGGACCGAACCCACUGUCGUUGAAAAGCCAGGGGAUGACUUGUGGAUAGGGGUGAAAGGCUAAUCAAGCCUGGUGAUAGCUGGUUCUCCCCGAAAGCUAUUUAGGUAGCGCCUCGGACGAAUACCAUAGGGGGUAGAGCACUGUUUCGGCUAGGGGGUCAUCCCGACUUACCAAACCGAUGCAAACUCCGAAUACCUAUGAGUACUAUCCGGGAGACAGACUGCGGGUGCUAACGUCCGUAGUCAAGAGGAAAACAAUCCAGACCGCCAGCUAAGGCCCCAAAAUCAUAGUUAAGUGGGAAACGAUGUGGGAAGGCAUAGACAGCUAGGAGGUUGGCUUAGAAGCAGCCACCCUUUAAAGAAAGCGUAAUAGCUCACUAGUCGAGUCGGCCUGCGCGGAAGAUGUAACGGGGCUAAAACUAUGUGCCGAAGCUGCGGAUNNAUGCUGGAGGUAUCAGAAGUGCGAAUGCUGACGUGAGUAACGACAAAACGGGUGAAAAACCCGUUCGCCGAAAGACCAAGGGUUCCAGUCCAACGUUAAUCGGGGCUGGGUGAGUCGACCCCUAAGGCGAGGCCGAAAGGCGUAGUCGAUGGGAAAAUGGUUAAUAUUCCAUUACUUCUGUGUAAUGCGAUGAGAGGACGGAGAAGGCUAAAUCAGCCUGGCGUUGGUUGUCCAGGUGAAAGGAUGUAGGCAUGUAUCUUAGGCAAAUCCGGGGUACUCUAUGCUGAGAUCUGAUAGCAAGCUGUACUUGUACAGCGAAGUGGUUGAUGCCAUGCUUCCAGGAAAAGUCUCUAAGCUUCAGUUACACAGGAAUCGUACCCGAAACCGACACAGGUGGUCAGGUCGAGUAGACCAAGGCGCUUGAGAGAACUCUGCUGAAGGAACUAGGCAAAAUGGUACCGUAACUUCGGGAGAAGGUACGCUGUUGUUGGUGAUGGAACUCGCUUCCUGAGCUGACGACAGCCGCAGAAACCAGGCCGCUGCAACUGUUUAUUAAAAACAUAGCACUCUGCAAACACGAAAGUGGACGUAUAGGGUGUGAUGCCUGCCCGGUGCUGGAAGGUUAAUUGAUGGGGUUAGCGUAAGCGAAGCUCUUGAUCGAAGCCCCAGUAAACGGCGGCCGUAACUAUAACGGUCCUAAGGUAGCGAAAUUCCUUGUCGGGUAAGUUCCGACCUGCACGAAUGGCAUAAUGAUGGCGGCGCUGUCUCCAGCAGAGGCUCAGUGAAAUCGAAAUCGCUGUGAAGAUGCAGUGUACCCGCGGCUAGACGGAAAGACCCCGUGAACCUUUACUGCAGCUUGACACUGAACUUUGACCUUACUUGUGUAGGAUAGGUGGGAGGCUUUGAAGCUGGAACGCUAGUUCCAGUGGAGCCGUCCUUGAAAUACCACCCUGGUAAUGUUGAGGUUCUAACUCUGUCCCGUGAUCCGGGACGAGGACCGUGUCUGGUGGGUAGUUUGACUGGGGCGGUCUCCUCCUAAAGAGUAACGGAGGAGUACGAAGGUGCGCUCAGCGUGGUCGGAAAUCACGCGUAGAGUAUAAAGGCAAAAGCGCGCUUAACUGCGAGACCCACAAGUCGAGCAGGUACGAAAGUAGGUCUUAGUGAUCCGGUGGUUCUGUAUGGAAGGGCCAUCGCUCAACGGAUAAAAGGUACUCUGGGGAUAACAGGCUGAUACCGCCCAAGAGUUCAUAUCGACGGCGGUGUUUGGCACCUCGAUGUCGGCUCAUCUCAUCCUGGGGCUGAAGCAGGUCCCAAGGGUAUGGCUGUUCGCCAUUUAAAGAGGUACGCGAGCUGGGUUUAGAACGUCGUGAGACAGUUCGGUCCCUAUCUACCGUGGGCGCUGGAAAUUUGAGAGGAUCUGCUCCUAGUACGAGAGGACCAGAGUGGACGAACCUCUGGUGUACCGGUUGUGACGCCAGUCGCAUCGCCGGGUAGCUAUGUUCGGAAGGGAUAACCGCUGAAAGCAUCUAAGCGGGAAGCCUACCUCAAGAUAAGAUUUCCCUAGGACUUUAUGUCCUCUAAAGAGCCGUUCGAGACUAGGACGUUGAUAGGUUGGAUGUGGAAGCAUAGUGAUAUGUGAAGCUGACCAAUACUAAUUGCUCGUGAGGCUUGACUAUACAACACCCAAGCAGUUG
rnacentral:rRNA from 1 species